UACGGGGGGGGCAAGCGUUGUUCGGAAUUACUGGGCGUAAAGGGUUCGUAGGUGGCUUGCUAAGUCAGACGUGAAAUCCCUCAGCUUAACUGGGGAACUGCGUCUGAUACUGGCGAGCUUGAGUGCAGGAGAGGAACGCAGAAUUCCAGGUGUAGCGGUGAAAUGCGUAGAUAUCGAGAGGAACACCUGCGGCGAAGGCGGGUUGCUGGGCUGACACUGACGCUGAUGCGCGAAAGCCAGGGGAGCGAACGGG
rnacentral:rRNA from 1 species